GCCAGGCGUGAUGGCUCACGCCUGUAAUCCCAGCACUUUGGGAGGCUGAGACAGGUGGAUCACUUGAGGUCAGGAGUUUAAAACCAGCCUGGUCAACAUAGUGAAACCCUGACUCUA
rfam:Pan troglodytes isolate Yerkes chimp pedigree #C0471 (Clint) chromosome 21, whole genome shotgun sequence.